rnacentral:rRNA from 1 species
CCAGACUCCUACGGGAGGCAGCAGUGGGGGAUAUUGCACAAUGGGGGAAACCCUGAUGCAGCGACGCCGCGUGAGUGAAGAAGUAUUUCGGUAUGUAAAGCUCUAUCAGCAGGGAAGAAAAUGACGGUACCUGACUAAGAAGCCCCGGCUAACUACGUGCCAGCAGCCGCGGUAAUACGUAGGGGGCAAGCGUUAUCCGGAUUUACUGGGUGUAAAGGGAGCGUAGACGGCAUGGCAAGUCAGAUGUGAAAGCCCGGGGCUCAACCCCGGGACUGCUCUGGAAACUGUGCGGCUAGAGUACUGGAGGGGCAGGCGGAAUUCCUAGUGUAGCGGUGAAAUGCGUAGAUAUUAGGAGGAACACCAGAGGCGAAGGCGGCCUGCUGGACAGUAACUGACGUUGAGGCUCGAAAGCGUGGAGAGCAAACAGGAUUAGAUACCCCAGUACC